UACGUAGGGUGCAAGCGUUGUCCGGAAUUAUUGGGCGUAAAGAGCUCGUAGGCGGUUUGUCGCGUCUGCUGUGAAAACUCGGGGCUUAACUCCGGGCCUGCAGUGGGUACGGGCAGACUAGAGUGCGGUAGGGGAGACUGGAAUUCCUGGUGUAGCGGUGAAAUGCGCAGAUAUCAGGAGGAACACUGGUGGCGAAGGCGGGUCUCUGGGCCGUAACUGGACGCUGAGGAGCGAAAGCGUGGGGAGCGAACAGG
rnacentral:rRNA from 1 species